rnacentral:rRNA from 1 species
CCCACCAAGGCGACGAUCCGUAGCUGGUCUGAGAGGAUGAUCAGCCACACUGGGACUGAGACACGGCCCAGACUCCUACGGGAGGCAGCAGUGGGGAAUAUUGGACAAUGGGCGAAAGCCUGAUCCAGCCAUGCCGCGUGUGUGAAGAAGGCCUUCGGGUUGUAAAGCACUUUAAGUGGGGAGGAAAAGCGCUGCGUGAAUAUCGUAGUGCCGUGACGUUACCCACAGAAUAAGCACCGGCAAACUCCGUGCCAGCAGCCGCGGUAAUACGGAGGGUGCGAGCGUUAAUCGGAAUUACUGGGCGUAAAGCGCACGUAGGCGGUUCUGUAAGUGGGAUGUGAAACCCCCGGGCUUAACCUGGGACUUGCAUACCAGACUGCAAAGCUAGAGUAUGAGAGAGGGUGGUGGAAUUUCCGGUGUAGCGGUGAAAUGCGUAGAGAUCGGAAGGAACAUCAGUG